rnacentral:rRNA from 1 species
AGAGUUUGAUCCUGGCUCAGAACGAACGCUGGCGGCGUGGUUUAGGCAUGCAAGUCGUACGAUCUUAGGAUAGUGGCAAAAGGGUGAGUAACACGUGGGUAAUUUACCCUUAAGUCGGGAAUAACACCUCGAAAGAGAUGCUAAUACCGGAUAACACCCCGUGCACGUAUGUGCGUGGAGUUAAAGUCGGGGACCCCUCGGGGCCCGACGCUUGAGGAUAAGCCCGCGUCCUAUCAGCUUGUUGGUGAGGUAAUGGCUCACCAAGGCAAUUGACGGGUAGCUGGUCUGAGAGGAUGGUCAGCCACACUGGGACUGAGACACUGCCCAGACUUCUACGGGAGGCUGCAGUCGAGAAUCUUUCGCAAUGGGGGAAACCCUGACGAAGCGACGCCGCGUGGGCGAUGAAGGCCUUCGGGUUGUAAAGCCCUGUCACGAGGGGCGAAUACGCAAUGGUUAACAGCCAAAGUGUUUGACAGUACCUCGAGAGGAAGCCACGGCUAACUCCGUGCCAGCAGCCGCGGUAAUACGGAGGUGGCAAGCGUUGUUCGGAUUCAUUGGGUGUAAAGGGCAUGUAGGCGGCCCCUUAAGUCGACUGUGAAAUCCCUUGGCUUAACCAAGGAACUGCAAUCGAUACUGAGAGGCUUGAGUGCAGAGGAGGAGAACGGAAUUCCCGGUGUAAGGGUGAAAUCUGCAGAGAUCGGGAGGAACACCAGUGGCGAAGGCGGUUCUCUGGUCUGCAACUGACGCUGAAAUGCGAAAGCUAGGGGAGCAAACAGGAUUAGAUACCCUGGUAGUCCUAGCCGUAAACGAUGGGCACUAGGUGUCGGGUAGCAAUAUUCGGUGCCGCAGUUAACACAUUAAGUGCCCCACCUGGGGACUACGGCCGCAAGGUUGAAACUCAAAGGAAUUGACGGGGACCCGCACAAGCGGUGGAGCAUGUGGUUUAAUACGACGCUACGCGUGGAACCUUACCAAGGCUUGACAUGUACAUGAAAUCUCUAUGAAAGUAGGGCUCUCCCUCAAGGACAUGUACACAGGUGUUGCAUGGCUGUCGUCAGCUCGUGUCGUGAGAUGUUGGGUUAAGUCCCGCAACGAGCGCAACCAUUGUCUUUAGUUGCCAGUCCGGUUUCCGGACGCACUCUAGAGAGACUGCCUGUUGUUUGACAGGAGGAAGGUGAAGAUGACGUCAAGUCAGUAUGGCCCUUACGCCUUGGGCUACACACGUGC